CCCAGGUUUCAAUAUAGUUUGCAUGAGAUUGGUACAUGUAAUUUUAGUUUGUGUUGGUCUAGUUCGAACUCCCCAUAAACUUAAACCUUGUUUAUUUGUGAAUGUAUGUUUCUGUACGCAUGUGUAUGUUUGUUUAUGGGACUGCAUGUGUAUGGGUUAGCCAGCUGCUAUGUGUUGUGUUUGGGGACGCUGCCUGUGACCAUAAUUGUGUGUAUGAUGAAUGUAUUCAGGGUGGGACAGGGUACGCAAAGGGAUAACUGUGGCAGGGUGAGGGGAUUAAUGAGACAGGGUUGGGGUGUGCGUGUGACAUGGUUGAAGGAGGGAAUGUGACAGGGUGAGGGGAAGAAAGUGUGACAGGAAUAGAGGCAUUAAUGUGAGUGUAGUAGGGUUGAGGUUAGAGUGGCACAGUUGGAGUAGGGAGUGUGACAGGGCAAGGUGAGUGUGACAGGAUUAGGGAGGGUUAUGUGACAGGGUGACUGUGGCAUGGCCGAGGAUUAGUGACAGAAUAGGAGAGGUUAAUGUGAUCGGAUGAAUGUGGAUGAGAUGACAGGGUUGGGGUUAUUGGUUGCAUGGCUGGAGGAGGGAGUGUGACAGGGCGAGGGAAGAUGAGCCUAACAGGAUUAUAUGACAUGGUCAGUGUGGCAUAGUUGGGCAGGAUAAGUGGCACGACUGAAAUAGAAUGAGCGUGACAGGGUUGGGGGUGAGUGUGACAGUAUGAGAGAAGAUGAGUAUGAUAGAAUUAGGGGGAUUACUGUGAUAGGGUAAUUGUGGAAUGGAUGGAGGGGGUGAGCGACAAGAUUAAGGAGAGGUUAAUGUGAGUGUGGCUGGGUGAAGGGAGCAUGACAGCAUAUGGGGGGGGUGAGUGUGGGUGGUGACUGUAUAUGGGUGGAACUGAACAGUGGGUAGGUGAGUGUGUGGGGGCAGUGUUGGGGAGGGUGACAGUUUGUGUGUUGUGACAGUGUGCGGGGAAGUGUUUAGGAGGGGUGACUGUAUGUAUUGGUGACAGAGUAUUGGGGACUGACAAUAUGGUGGGGAAGUGCGUAGGAGGUGACAGUAUGGGGAGGGGCAGUGUGUGAAAGGUGACCGUGUGGGGAGGGAGCAGUGUGUGAGGCUGUGACAAGCAGCCUUACACUGAAAUACCUUCAGUAAUUCCCUGGUGGGAUAACUAUCCUGUCUACAGCUCCACCGAGCACAGAGCUGCAGACCUGGUUCAAGGUAACCCCCUUUAGUGCAGACCUCGUUCGUGGUAACCCGCGUCAACACUCUGUGAGUUAGCGAGAACUACAUUGAGUGAUUUGCAACGCUGCAGAUCAGAGGCUCAGCACCUGGCAGCAUACUGGCCAAGUCACUGGGCCCCCUCCCAGUUUCAGGCCCUUGGUCACAGUCUGCUAAGGCGACUUAGCCGCCUACAUCGCCUAAUUAGAGAGCCGCCUCUGAUAACCAUGUAUAUCACACCCUGAAAAAUAUGUAACAUGCUAAAUUAUAUGCGUGUGAAUGUGUUUGUUUAUACGAUACAUAAACAGUUUUAAGAUGUGAUUCAUCAAAUAUAUGUGCAUAUAGUGUGAGACAUAUAAUUCUAUUUAAAGUGUCUAUGUAUUAGACUGGUGCAAUGCAUGUUUAAUGGACAGUCUGAUUUUGUUUGCCCAUUUUCAUUUCCUUCCCUUUGAUGACAUUCUAUUAAUUUUUUUUGCCAUCUUUCUUUUCAGUUCCCAUUACUUUGGUAUUUUUUUCCCACGUGUCUCAUACAGGGUUAUUACUAAAUUGAGAAUUCAACGUGAAAUUCUAAUUUAAAGAAAGAGUAGCUGAAUGAAAAGAAGUGGAUUUAGAGAAUAUUUCCAGUUUGACUAUUUUGACCUUAAAUUCAUUUUGAAUUCUCACUUUAGUGAAUAACCUUAAUAUAAUUUACAUAGUCCCAUAUACACUGCACAUUACUGGGAGCUCUGCAAUAUCCCAUAUACACACCCACACACCAACCACAUGCCAGUUGCCCACACUACCAUCCCAUUCUUAUUUUCCAAGCUCAGCUCUCCACUGACUGAGCUUGGAGUUCUACUUAUGAUGAACAGGAUCCAGCUAGGGUGUCUUAAAAUGGAGAGUAUGUGGAGUAAUAGUGUGUAAAUCAUAACUUACCAUUGGGUAGCUGUAUAUUUCUGCUCCCUGCAGUGUCCAUCAGCAUGUCCACACCAGUGGAUUGGCUGCAGUGUUCAAAUACAUUGUCUGAUGUAAUCAGAGGACUAGCCCUUGCCCAGAUGUUGUGGACUACAUCUCCCCCUAAUGCUUUGUCAGUAUUAUGCCAUAUUUGGAGUGCAAAAGGUUCCCUACCUCUGCCCUAGUUUGUAGCUCACCCAGAGCUCAAUCAGGAGGAGAGUGAGGAGCCAAGCACAAGAUUGACAGGUUAUCCAGUACUGUAGACCUAUUACAGCAGGAUGGGCCUUGAGCUGGAUGUUAAUCUGUCCUAGUUUAAAUGUAUGGACCAGCACACAGAAUUCAGAGAUAAGUAUUUAAGCUCUUAUACACAAUAUCAAAAAUAGUUGUUUCACUGAACCUCACUUACCUAGUUGUAUCUUAAUAAUUUAACUUUGUCACAAUGGUUUCAGUUGUCAAGUUUCUUUUCAACACAUUUGAGUUUUGGAAGUACUUCUUUAUAAACAAAAAAUAAAAAUAUAUCAUAUAAGCUAUCUUAGGACCCUUUGACAUAGGUACCAUCAAAUGAAAGUAGACAGACUGACCAAUAAACAAUACGAAUUCAUAUUGGUUAUUUACUUUUUCAAAGCCAUGUGCGGCACUGUGUUCCAGUAGUCUUGAUCACAUCAUUUGAAAACAAAGUGACAGAUGAGAGAUCCUACCUGUGUAGAGUCAUUGCUGUUCAAUUAGUUUAUUGAAAACCAGUUAUAAAUGUGAACUUUACACCAAGCUUUAGCAAUGUUUACAAAGAGUAAAACACAAAAUAUACGUAAAGCAAAAUCAAAGCAUGGACUUCACAUUAACUAGUUAUUUUUUGUGCAACAGUUGAGAAAAAGAUGUUGCAAUAAAGAAUAAAUGUUUAUAUGAGCUUAAUAAUAUUCUCCCUUUAUGAAUAACCACACCAUAUUUUGUUUGUUUAUAUUACUACCAACUAUACCAUAUAAGUGAACACAUAAACUUCAAAAUAACCAGUUUGAUUCAACAUUGAUUUCUACAGAAAAUGUCAUUCCUAUAUAUAACCUACUUAUUUCAUAGUUCCUGGAAUGUUAUAAAAAGGUUGAGACAAUAAAAAUAAUUGUUUCCCGUUAUAAACAAAUUAUUUUCAGCUGGUACGUACAAAACACAUUUUAAUCUACUCCCAAACAAAUCAGUCACGAUUUACCUGUGGUCUUAUUCAUUGAAAAAGACUCCAAAGCGACAUCUCAGAGGGAUCAAAUUUUUUGGACUUAUAUUAAAAGUAAUUUGAUUUGUCCGUAGCAGUUGAAAAUAAUUUUUGGACAUGUCUAUUAUCCAGUAGAUGAAUUGGAUUAACAAUUGUAUGUACACGGUCAAAAUAUAUAUAUUUUUUUAUUUAUCAACAAUUAAAUUAAAAUUUGCUGGAAAAGAGUGCUUAUGCAAAAGUGUGAAAUUAAACAUAUGUAUUCACAAUAUACAUAUUCUCAUAGUGCAGUACAAUGUACAUCACAAGGCACAUUUUAUAAUAAAAAAAAAUAAAAAAUAAAAAAUCAGCCUAAGCACAGCAGCUCUGAUUGUUUUCAAAAGUCUCCCAGAAUGUCGAGCAAAUGAGCACAAAAAGCACUUUUUAUUCACGCCAAUGCGCAGGUCAUUUCCUAAGUAAAUCAGUAUUCAGUUUUCAAGGGGAUUGUCGGCAUUGGGGCCAGCUUUGGCGCAAGAAAUACCUUGCCUGUCUACCUCUCCCUUAUUUCUUUAUUUGGUUGGAUUGUCAUUUAUCUGACAACACUCACUUAUUUUGUUCUCUUUGCAUGCAGCAUUUUCGGUCAGGACAUUUUAAAAAGUACUGGACAGUUGGAAAAUGAAUUUAAGUUAUAGCAAGAUAUAGCAUUAACUAUGGAAAUGGCAAAACGUAUAUAAUUUGUUUAAUCACAGGAUACUUGUAUAUUUUAAAUAUUUGGGCAUGUAAUGUAUAGCUGGUAAUGGAUAAGAGUUCGUUAAUAAGGGUAAAUACAUAUUACCCUAUUUAAAAGGUCUUUGGUUGAGGGAAUGGAGUUGUCUAAAUUCACUGAUUACAGACAUUGAAUUCUUAUAAUUAACCUCUUGGCAGUAUAGAUUUUGCAAUUCUCCUCAACUCCCAGCAAAAUUGAACAGACUAACUACUGUAUUUCUAAAUAAGAAAUGAUUUGUGCAUAUUAAAUUGUGAUUUAUUUUUUUUUAAAUUAAACACCUAUGUAUUUAAAGCCUUCAAUUAUGAACGGGGGAAAAGGUGUACAAUUUUAAACAUGGGAUACUUCACUAAAAAGUAAAAUUAAUGCAAAAGAAAAGUGUAAAAAUGUCACCAGCCUUUGUGAUUAAUUUGUUGUUAAAGGGCAACAAGAGUUAAAAUGUGAUUCUUCAUUUAUGUUUUUCCAUUUUUUGUUUUCUAAAUAUUGUACAAUAUAAACUGGUGAUUUUCCCAUAUCAAUCUGACAAGGCUAAUUAUUUCAGUUGGAAAUAUUUAAAGGACAUACAGUAUGUAAAAAUAACAAUGUUUAAGUAUGCCAAGUGAUUUGAAUAUGCGUGUAUUUUGUGAAUGCAGAUGACCAACUGACACUGCGAUGUAAAAAUAUAAUCCAAAAAUGAAAGGAACCCGUUAGACUAGAACCAUGCAAUGUAAUAUUUUAAGUGAAUAUUUUAGUUAUCCUGCAAAAACCUUCAUGAGUAGAGGGAGAAAAAUAAAAUUGUGAGACUAUAAAGCCACAACAUAAUUGCCUGGGUAAAACCGGGCAUAUACCUGUGCAUACAAUGGCAGUGCACAAGGCUACUGCAGACUACACCAUACCUCCUCACUGAUGUCCCUUCUAAUCUGUUCAAAUUAAUACCACUGAAGAGAUAGUACGGCAGCUGUGCCAUUGUCCAUAUAGUCUGGAAGCAGUAGUAGCAGUGAACACAGAUUGAAGGUAUUUUGUACUAUAUUUAAAUAUUUAUAGAUAAAGCAAACAAUUGGUUUACAGAUGUUUGGGCCAAUUGGCAAUUGUCUGUUUGCAAAGCUUUUAUAAUUAAAAAA